CAGUUCUCAUGUUUCCUUCAUUGAAAUAAUAGUUAUAUUUGUAUAUAUACAUAAAUAUGUAAUUAUAUAUAUAUUUGUACCCAUAUGAGAUGUUACUAUCAGUAUAUUGAGCAGCAAUUCUCAAUCACUCCUUAGGGCAUGCCUCCCUGUUCUAUUGAUGUGACACAAUUAUGUACUAAGAACACUGAAGUAAAUGGUUGAAGACAGAAGACUUAUUAUAGAUUUUAUAUCCAGCCCAUGAGGAUUUUAACUGAUUCCACCGAGCAGGCUCAGCUGAAACGCUGCCACGUCCUAGGACCACGCCAGAAGUCACUGGAUGUAAUAUGAUUACUCUGAGCAAAUACACAAACUCACAAGUGAUUGCAGUGUCCUGGGGAUAAGAAUCAGAAAAACCAAAAGAAUUGAGCUGAUGAAUUGUGUGAGAGAAGGCAGCUCUCCUUGGAGCAUGAAACAGUAUGUGGCAUGUGGAUCCUCAGCCUUCUUGCAUCCCAACUUUUGAUGGCCAACUUCUUUCAUUACAAAGAACUCAGGACAAAAUCUUUGCAAAGCAGAAUGAUUCCUAAAGUGCAGGAAAUUCUGAGUGUGCCCUCAUGAAAAAUAUUUACAACUCUCAACAGUAAGAAAAGACUUCUGGCAAAUUAGCAUUAAAGAUUUCUUUGGGUAAGUAUGUAAAACUAUCAUUCACCUUAACAGUUUUAAGAAACAAACUACUUAUAAAAACCAACAGGUGGAAAAAAAAUAGAGUUCAGAACAACAAGUAAGAAAAUAAUCUGUAGAAAUCAGGUUUUGAUAAUUUUCCCUGAUAUUUAAUCUCAUACAUGGCAUUUCAUCUCUCAUACUUAGCUUUUGGUUUCAUGUCUGAGCCACCAUUAUUAGGCAACUAGCUCUUGAAAAUGAA
rnacentral:lncRNA from 1 species